rnacentral:rRNA from 1 species
UACGUAGGAUGCAAGCGUUGUCCGGAAUUAUUGGGCGUAAAGAGCGCGCAGGCGGUAUGACAAGUCAGAUGUGAAAGAGGCCGGCUUAACCGGCAAGGGUCAUUUGAAACUGUCAGACUAGAGUGCAGCAGAGGAUAGUGGAAUUCCCGGUGUAGUGGUGGAAUGCGCAGAUAUCAGGAGGAACACCGGUGGCGAAGGCGGGUCUCUGGGCAGUAACUGACGCUGAGGAGCGAAAGCGUGGGGAGCGAACAGG